AAGACCUUGCGCUUUUGGAGCGGCCGAKGCCUGAUUAGCUUGUUGAUGAGGUAAAAGCUCACCAAGGCUUCGAUCAGUAGCUGGUCUGAGAGGACGACCAGCCACACUGGGACUGAGACACGGCCCAAACUCCUACGGGAAGCAGCAGUGGGGAAUUUUGGACAAUGGGGGCAACCCUGAUCCAGCCAUGCCGCGUGAGUGAAGAAGGCCUUCGGGUUGUAAAGCUCUUUCAGCCGGAACGAAACGGUCACGGCUAAUACCUAUAACUACUAACAAUACCGAAAGAAGAAACACCAACUAACUACAUACCAACAACCACGAUAAUACAUAGAAUGCGAGCGUUAAUCGGAAUUACUGGGCGUAAAGCGUGCGCAGGCGGUUUUGUAAGUCAGAUGUGAAAUCCCCGGGCUUAACCUGGGAACU
rnacentral:rRNA from 1 species